CCAAUAGCGUAUAUUAAAGUUGUUGCAGUUAAAAAGCUCGUAGUUGAACUUCGGGAUCAAUGAGUUGGUCGUGCCCUUGGUAUGAACUGGCUUUAUUGGUUCUCACCUUCUAAUGAACCAUAAUGUCAUUCAUUUGAUGUUUUGGGGAAUUAGGACUGUUACCUUGAAAAAAUUAGAGUGUUUAAAGCAGGCUCACGCUUGAAUACAUUAGCAUGGAAUAUUGAAAUAGGACAUCGCAUUCUAUUUUGUUGGUUUCUAGGAAUCGAUGUAAUGAUUAAUAGGGAUAGUUGGGGGCAUUAGUAUUCAAUUGUCAGAGGUGAAAUUCUUGGAUUUAUUGAAGACUAACUACUGCGAAAGCAUUUGCCAAGGAUGUUUUCAUUAAUCAAGAACGAAAGUUAGGGGAUCGAAGACGAUCAGAUACCGUCGUAGUCUUAACCAUAAACUAUGCCGACUAGGGAUCGGAUGAUGUUGAUUUUUUAAUGACUCAUUCGGCACCUUACG
rnacentral:rRNA from 1 species